AACGCAUAUUGCGCUCGAGGCUUCGGCCAAGAGCAUGUCUGCCUCAGCGUCGGGUUAAUACUCGCACUCUACUACCCUGCGUAUUAGAGUAAGCGGACCUGGCUGUCUCGGUGUUUGAUUUUCGGAUCAAACGCCGGGUCAGCUGAAGUACAGAGGUUGAUGCAUGGACCCGCUUAUGGGCCUCUACUGGGUAGGCAACUUGUUGCUAAUGCUUUAGUAGAUGGCUUGGAGCUGUGCUUGUCGACCCAAACCAGGAACUUUGGCCUCUUGUGCCGAAGCAAACCCCUAUUUUCUCGACCUGAGCUCAGGCAAGAUUACCCGCUGAACUUAA
rnacentral:misc_RNA from 1 species